rnacentral:rRNA from 1 species
UACGAAGGGGGCUAGCGUUGUUCGGAAUUACUGGGCGUAAAGCGCGCGCAGGCGGUUCUUUAAGGCAGGGGUGAAAGCCCAGAGCUCAACUCUGGAAUUGCCUUUGAAACUAGAGAACUUGGGUACGGGAGAGGUGAGUGGAAUUCCGAGUGUAGAGGUGAAAUUCGUAGAUAUUCGGAAGAACACCAGUGGCGAAGGCGGCUCACUGGCCCGUUACCGACGCUCAGGCGCGACAGCGUGGGGAGCAAACAGG